AACGAACGCUGGCGGCAGGCUUAACACAUGCAAGUCGAGCGCCCCGCAAGGGGAGCGGCAGACGGGUGAGUAACGCGUGGGAACGUACCUUUUGGUUCGGAACAACUCCGGGAAACUGGAGCUAAUACCGGAUAAGCCCUAACGGGGAAAGAUUUAUCGCCGAAAGCUCGGCCCGCGUCUGAUUAGCUAGUUGGUGAGGUAACGGCUCACCAAGGCGACGAUCAGUAGCUGGUCUGAGAGGAUGAGCAGCCACACUGGGACUGAGACACGGCCCAGACUCCUACGGGAGGCAGCAGUGGGGGAUAGUGGACAAUGGGCGCAAGCCUGAUCCAGCCAUGCCGCGUGAGUGAUGAAGGCCUUAGGGUUGUAAAGCGCUUUUGUCCGGGAAGAUAAUGACUGUACCGGAAGAAUAAGCCCCGGCUAACUUCGUG
rnacentral:rRNA from 1 species